GAUGAAGAACGCAGCGAAAUGCGAUACGUAAUGUGAAUUGCAGAAUUCAGUGAAUCAUCGAAUCUUUGAACGCACAUUGCGCCCCUUGGUAUUCCGAGGGGCAUGCCUAUUCGAGCGUCAUUAUCACCCCUCAAGCCUAGCUUGGUGUUGGGGCUUGCUGUAAAGGCAGCCUCUAAAAUCAGUGGCAGUGCUGUCAGGCUCUAAGCGUAGUAAAUUCAUCGCUAUAGGGUCCUGGUGGAUACUCGUCAAAACCCCCCAUUUUUAAUGAUUGACCCCUCGGAUUAGGUAGGGAUACCCGCUGAACUUAAGCAUAUCAAUAAGCGGAGGA
rnacentral:misc_RNA from 1 species